GCAUAUUAGCUGAGUGGGUAAAGCGCUAUAGAAAGUUAAUUACUCGGUACCGAAGAUCGAUGGUUCGAUCCCAUCCUGGAGCA